GGGGCUGGCCACCGUCCGGAUCCGGCGCCGGCGGCGAAGGGUCGGCUGGAGGAGCGUGUUGGCCAUGCCCGUGGUGCUUGGGCGGCGCCUUGGCAUGGCGCUUUUUCUUCACAGGCUGAACGGCGCUGUCGUCGCCGAUGGCGAGCUCCGGCGGUUUAUGGGUAUUCGCGGUUGGAGGCUCGAGCUUGGCGCGCGCGGCUCGGCCACCUUCCAGCUGUGCAUCGGCGCCAUGGGUGGUGACCGAGGGCAGUGAUCUCGAGGAGGUAAGGCCGCACGGCAUGAGCAAAACGAUGGCAAAGGCCAGGAGGUAUGCCAUCGAUGAUGCUCUUCUUGAGGCCACCAUGUUAGCUAGAGCCCGCUGUUGAUGACAAGUUGUGGUGCAACUUGGGAGCUUGCAUAGCGCACCGUCUAGCUAUACACGCAUGUACGUUUAUAUACGGGCUGUGAGUGAUCGAUCGAUUUGGGGUGAGAAGUUGCAUGCGUAAUGUAGCCAUUUAGAUUUGAACGUCUGUCACCAUGGUGAUUGUGAGAAGAAAGUUUUACUAUCUUGGCUCGUUGAAUUUAGAGAGCACAUUGGUAACUAAUGGGUUGUUGGUGUCCAUGAGGUGAC
rnacentral:lncRNA from 1 species